rnacentral:rRNA from 1 species
GAUGAACGCUGGCGGUAUGCCUAAUACAUGCAAGUCGAACGCAUUCUCGUUUUAGAUUGAAGGUGCUUGCACCAGAUUGAUAAAACAUUUGAAUGAGUGGCGGACGGGUGAGUAACACGUGGGUAACCUGCCCAAAAGUGGGGGAUAACAUUUGGAAACAAAUGCUAAUACCGCAUAAUAGUCAAAACCGCAUGGUUUUGAUUUGAAAGAUGGUUUCGGCUAUCACUUUUGGAUGGACCCGCGGCGCAUUAGUUAGUUGGUGAGGUAAUGGCUAACCAAGACGAUGAGUCGUAGCCGAACUGGGAGGUUGAUCGGCCACAAUGGGACUGAGACACGGCCCAUACUCCUACGGGAGGCAGCAGUAGGGAAUCUUCCACAAUGGGCGAAAGCCUGAUGGAGCAAUACCGCGUGAGUGAAGAAGGGUUUCGGCUCGUAAAACUCUGUUGUUGGAGAAGAACGUAUGUGAUAGUAACUGAUCAUGUAGUGACGGUAUCCAACCAGAAAGCCACGGCUAACUACGUGCCAGCCGCCGCCGUAA